rnacentral:ncRNA from 1 species
GAGGAAGCCGGUGUGAAUCCGGCGCGGUCCCGCCACUGUCACCGGGGAGCGACCCUCACCCACGCCACUGCCCAGCACGGGCGGGAAGGCUGAGGGGAGCGCUGAUCCGGGAGCCAGGAUACUC